UACGAAGGGGGCUAGCGUUGCUCGGAAUUACUGGGCGUAAAGCGCACGUAGGCGGAUUGUUAAGUCGGGGGUGAAAUCCUGGAGCUCAACUCCAGAACUGCCUUCGAUACUGGCGAUCUCGAGUUCGGGAGAGGUGAGUGGAACUGCGAGUGUAGAGGUGAAAUUCGUAGAUAUUCGCAAGAACACCAGUGGCGAAGGCGGCUCACUGGCCCGAUACUGACGCUGAGGUGCGAAAGCGUGGGGGCAAACAGG
rnacentral:rRNA from 1 species